AACGAACGCUGGCGGCAUGCCUAACACAUGCAAGUCGAACGAGACCUUCGGGUCUAGUGGCGCACGGGUGCGUAACGCGUGGGAACCUGCCCUUAGGUUCGGAAUAACUCCCCGAAAGGGGUGCUAAUACCGGAUAAUGUCUUCGGACCAAAGAUUUAUCGCCUUUGGAUGGGCCCGCGUUGGAUUAGCUAGUUGGUAGGGUAAAAGCCUACCAAGGCGACGAUCCAUAGCUGGUCUGAGAGGAUGAUCAGCCACACUGGGACUGAGACACGGCCCAGACUCCUACGGGAGGCAGCAGUGGGGAAUAUUGGACAAUGGGCGAAAGACUGAGCCAGCAAUGCCGCGUGAGUGAUGAAGGCCUUAGGGUUGUAAAGCUCUUUUACCCGGGAUGAUAAUGACAGUAUCGGGAGAAUAAGCUCCGGCUAACUCCGUG
rnacentral:rRNA from 1 species